rnacentral:misc_RNA from 1 species
GAUGAAGAACGUAGCGAAAUGUGAUACGUAAUGUGAAUUGCAGAAUUCAGUGAAUCAUCGAGUCUUUGAACGCACAUUGCGCCCCCUGGUAUUCCGGGGGGCAUGCCUGUCCGAGCGUCAUUGCUGCCCUCAAGCACGGCUUGUGUGUUGGGCCUCCGUCCUCCUCCCGGGGGACGGGCCCGAAAGGCAGCGGCGGCACCGCGUCCGGUCCUCGAGCGUAUGGGGCUUCGUCACCCGCUCUUGUAGGCCCGGCCGGCGCUUGCCGACACAUCAAUCUUUUUUCCAGGUUGACCUCGGAUCAGGUAGGGAUACCCGCUGAACUUAAGCAUAUCAAUAAGCGGAGGA